CAUAUCCAACUAAGUCAGACAUCACGUGACUUUUGUGACGUAUACUAGCCGCCAUUUUGUAUUAUAUUGCCCCAUAUAAAAUGCAUAGGUGCUUCAAUAAAGUUGAGUUUUCUCAUGAACCUGACCCGUUUUCUAACUUUUGCAAAUCAAUCCUUGAUAUUCAAACAUAUUUCUAUCAAACAAUGUUGGUCCUAACAGUUUAAUUUUUGAUUAAAUUCGGUCACUGGAGUACGUAAAAACAUGUACUUUUUCUCGUUAUUUCUCCGUUGACUCAAUGCUAAAUUACCGAUACCCAUGUCUACUUGUAUAACAAAUAAAGAAAUUCCGUUAAUAAAAAUAAAACUUUGCAACUCGAUUAAGUAUAUUCAAACAUAUAUCUGGCGAAAAAUACUAUUUAAAACAGUUUAAUUUCUGGGCAAUUUCGGUCAAAAAUCGAUUUAAAAAAGUGAAUAUUUCGGGAUUUUUCAAAAUGGCGGAUGAUGUAUAUGGAAAUGUUGCAUCAAAUCGAGGAUUUGUAUAGUAAGACUUUCCUUGAUUUAAUUUAAUUUUCAUGUAGAAUCUCUGAUGUUUCUGUUAUUUUCUUUGGUGAUAUUUCGAUAUGAUUGAUUUCAAAAUUUAUUGAUUAAAAAAAUAUUAUUCUAAGUGUGACACGGGAAAAUUUUAUUUUGACAGAUAUCCAGGAUAUACUGUUACCAGAUAAUAGUUAACAAUAAAAUUUAUAAUAAAAUUUUUUCUCUUCUUUUUUUAAAAGGUUUUUUUCCUGUUUUCUGUAUAAUUUAUCUUUCUUUAGAAAUAUAUUUAUACAUUCCUUUUAGAACAAAAAAAUAUUUACGUCCCAAGAGAGAAAAAAUCCCAACAAUUAUUAUAGAUAAAUAUUCCAUACCUUCAAAAUCCCAUCACUUGACGAACAGGUGAACUCUGACUUUGGAUGUAAUGUUACAUAACAAUAUAUUGUUAGGUAGACGUGCAAACCAAAAGCAACCAGGUGACAUUAAACAUCCUGUGUAUACAUGUAUUACCAGAGUUUAAAUUUUGUGAUAUACAAAAGUUUUCAUAACUGUACAAAUAAAUAUCUUCUCUUCCCCGUGUCAAACCAGAAGAAGUAUGUAUCAUAAUAAACUUAAAGAAAAUAUGAAUAUUAUAAAAAAAAAUCUUUAAAAAAAUAAUUUUUGCUUUAAAAGAUAAUCAAACUAAUAUUUAUGUUUCUUUAUUUUGUAUUAUUUCGUAAAAAAUUAAACGAGAUUUCAUUGAA